rnacentral:lncRNA from 1 species
AAACAUGAAAAGGAAAUAGAGAAAGAGAAUAAUAAUAAAAAGUUGUGGGCCUACACUUUUGAACAAAUCUGCAACCACCGUAUUUGUUAUGUAUUUAGGGAGAGUAGGGUAUUUUUUGGGUUUUUUUUUUUUAUACUUUGACGACAUCGCUUAAAAAAAUAUUUUUUUAUUUCAUGAUUAAAGGUGGAGAGAUUUUAAGGUGGUGUCGCUUGAUACAUUAGUAGUACUCAAAAAUAUUGUAGAAAAUAAUUUAUUUUUGUAAUUAAUCUACAUAUUAUAUCAUUU